CAGUAAUUCAAAGCUGAAAAGCACCUUCUAGAUUUCUCACCAAGCCUCAUCAAGAUAUGAUGCUUUCUUUGUACCUUCCAGGAUGUGUUCACCACAGAGAUAAAAGCUGACAUUGACUCUUCCACAAGGUUUCAAUAGGAAAGCAGACCAGGAGCCAGUGAACCAGAAUGAGGAGGAAAUCAGAAAACAUGCCAUUCCGUUCAUCCUGUAGCACAAAGGCAGAGACCUGGAGAAUUUCUUUCUCUCUUACUGAAUAGAAGAUUUUGAAUAACCAUAGCAACAGUAAAACCUGCUGUGAAACUUACAGCAUGAAGUGUUGCAGAUAUCUACCUCUGGGGAUCAAGGAGUUAGUGAAGGGUAUCGCUUCUGUGUUGUUGUUCCCCCCUGUACCAUCACUCCCAGGUUAGUACUGGAGAGAUGAACAUAAAAACAAGUGAACAGUUUCAGACAAAUAGUUUGUACUGCAAUAUUCUUCUGUUUUCUUUUUAUCAGAUUGUUCUUGCAUUGAUUGUGGAUUUUUUCUAUGACUUAUUUAAAUGAAAUCAGUAUGAAAUAUUUAAUUUUUAAUAUUGGGUAUUCAGAGCAAACCUCACAAAUGCUUGAAGAAGUGUGUGUUUUGCAGGGAGCAAAAUGGGACAUACAGCUUAAAUGGAAUGAUUUGCCUGGCUUAAUUCAAUCAUCUUUAGGGAGUUUCAGUGGAAAUGUGAUUGACCUGGUGAGGGGAAAAAAUCACAUGUAUGCUAAGGUUACCAAAGAUCAGCUGGGCUAGAUAUUCUUUUAGCCUACAGCAAACACAAAAUGUUUCAGAGUAGCUGAAAUGUUCCUGUCUAUGAGGUAAGUUGAUCUCUGUUUCAUUUGCCUUGAGCUGAGAGCCUGUAUCUGAACAGCCACUGGGACUCAGGUGCUUUGUGGCAGCUUAAGUCUGAACUGACUCUGUGCCUAGGUCUUUAGAUUCAACUCCCAGGACUUUUAAAAUGGGAGCUGGACUGGGUACUAGAGUGGGAAAGUAACUUAGAUAUUUUAUUAUGGUUAUUUUCUCUCCCCAGACAGCCUGCUUCAUUCACCCUCACAGGUAAAGAGAGCAAGUUUUGCAUUGUUCCACAUUUGUGAAUCCAGAUUAUGUCUGUUGUUAGAUUUACAGCUUUAGCAGAGUUUCUCAGGUGUAACAUUUACAUAAUUGAAUUCAGAAAUUGUUUAGUUGGUUGUGUCCUAAUAGAAAUUUCUUCAUUUUAAAAUGUCUAAUUCUGCAUUCUGUACAGACUGAAGUCUUGGGGCAGGUGCUACCUGCCUACCCUCCAAACAGGUAAAAACAUAUAUAGACACAUUCCUGUGGCAAUGUCCUACUUGCUGAGGUUUAGUGUUCUGCUAAGCAUUUAUAUGCAACCUCUGCUUGUGGCUCCACAUGCCUUUGCUUGAUUCAAUCUGUUGUAGGUAUAGACUCAGGUCUGCUAACAAUGCCCUGGCAGAAGUGCCAGAGUGGGUGCUGAGAAAUGAAAAUGCUUACUCAUGAUUAUUGGUAUAUUAGAAAUCUUCCCUCAUUGCAUUGUGGCAAGUACAACUUGCAUUCAGUUGUUGUAACAUAUUCCUUUCUGUCUGUAUUCUGUGUAAAGGAAGCAAAGCAUGUUACACCCCUGAUGACAGACAGGUACUCACUCCAAUGGGCUGUUGGUCAACUGCUUCUGUAACUUCUUUCAAACAUUCCAGUAGCCAGUACAGAUGGUUUUGGAUGUGGGAAAGACUUGUAUGCUAUGAAAUGUUGGUGUACAUGUGCAAAGUGGAAGGACAUCAUUGACAGGGUAAGAAAUAAUGGGCAUAAACUGAAAUACAGAAAUAUCUUUCUGAACAUCAGGAAACAUUUCUUUACCAUGAGGAUGACUAGCAAAGUUGUCCAGAGAGGCUGUGGAGUCUUCCUCCUUGGAGAUCUCCAAAACCAAUCUGGACAUGGUCCUGAGUAACCUUUUCUAGGUGGCUCUGCUUGAGCAGAACAGAUGUUCAGGGUAUCUCCAGAGGUCCUUUCCAAGCUCAGCCAGUCUGUGAUUCUCUGCUGAUAAACCCAUCAUGGCCCCUAGCAGGUGACUCAUUUAGAAGAAAAUCUGAGUCUGGCAUGUGGUUCUUAUGCUUGGAAGUCCGCCAUCACUGGUUGGAGGCAGGGACCAAAAAACUGCAUUUGCAGUUGUAUUUCAGCUCGCAAAUAUAUUUGCCUCUGUACCUCUGUGCCCCAGGUAUAGGAAUAUUUUCUUAACAGUGAUGCUCUGAACUUCAUCAGAGAUCUGUGUGAUGUGUUGAGAGAUCUGCAGAUUACAGGCACUAUGGGAACGAUUGGUCUGUAUUAUGUAUUGCCAUGGGGUUUUCAUGUUGGUGUAACUGGUGUGUGGGCAUUCACUUAGAGACAGAAGGGUAUUUAUUUUUUGCUUGUGGCAUCCACUUCCAUACAAAAAAAUGUGCAUGUGACAGAGCUGAAAAACCUUUGCUAUUCACAAAGCUAUUAAAAAUAAAUCCUUUUGCUGUGCUGAGAAUUUUAAUUGGAGUUGGAUCUGCACAGUUCUUCCACAGAUUUUAAAAUGCUUAUCUUUGCUUGUCUGUUUAUGUGUUUAUGUCCUUAGACUUUAUCACCUAGUACUCACAUGGCUCCAGGAAAAGAGGCUCGAAGCUCAGCACAUCCUUUUCUUUGCAGGAUUACUGUGGCUGGGAAGGUCGGUGAGGAUUUCGUCUGCCACCAGAGAGCACUGUAACUAUACGCUCCAGCCAGCCGGCCCAAUUUCCAGGUCAGGUUCUACCUGAUGCUGCCUGUUUCUUUCGUCAGCUUUCCCUUAGAGCAAAAAGGUUCUUAAAGGAAACCCCGCGUAGGACAGCCCUGUGCUUUUCCAUGCUGCUUUACCUCCACUUUUACUUUGUGAGUCCACACAGACAGGGUUGAGUCACCACCCACCCAAGCGCUAGGCAAGAAAGGACUCCACCUUGUCAAAGGGCAGUUGACCACUUGCACAGCCCCUUGUGUUAAGCUGGGUGUACAGCCUGAAUGCAUCUGUCUGCAGGCUGGAAAAAAAAAAAAAAAAAAAAAAAAAAAAAGACACUGCUGUUAUUCUAUUGUAUGCUAUCCCGCUAUCCCUUGCUAUCCCUUGCUAUCCCUUGCUAUCCCUUGCUGUUGCUCAAACACAAGAAGAAAGGGCAAUGUAGCAGCUACCCUAAAGCCAGUUCACUUUGCUCCCUCUCCUCUUCUACAAAAGGUUUGUCUGUUUUUUAUUCAAAACAACCUUGUUUAAACUUAAAACAAAUGGUCUCUAUUUGUCAUUAACUUGAAAUCUUACUACUUCUGUUUCAGACCUGAAGGACUUGAGUGUUUCUUCUACUUUUAUUCCAACACAAAUAUAGCUUCACUUACAUCCUUCAAGCAGCAUGGCUGCAGCAAAGCUUCCAUUGCUUUGAGUCCUGGCAUAUAUAAGGAGCACAGCACUGCUGGCCUUCUGUGGUUUGUACACGUUUUGCCUGACUGAAACCAUUGCACUAUACAGGCUUAAUAAUUACUUUGAGAUUGGACAUCUCCCUUUUUAGGGAUGGCAGAGACCUUUGCUGAUGGUACAUGUACCUGGCCGAGAAAUGACAUAUCCGCAGAUGUGGAGACAGCCUUGAGUCAAAGUACUGCACAAGGCACCUGCUGAUGAGACAGAAAGCCCAUGGUCAGGUCAAGUGGAGCUGACAUGAAUCUGCAUCUUUGAAGAAGAAGAAUGAAGGACCCCACAUUUCCAGCAGCAGAGCUAAAAG